ensembl:lncRNA
CUUUCUUCCCUUUGUCGGGGCACCCUGAAAAUACAAUAUGGCACAAUUUCCUUCUGAGUACUGAAAGAUUUAGAGGUAAGGCUGUAGUUCAUCAUCAUCUUCAGAGGGCACUGCAUACUUGGAGAAUAGCAAAUGUGGUGCCUGAAUUUAGAAAAAAGGAUAAAAGUGACCCAGGACUGAUUACUGUUGAUCUGAGAUCAAGAGUGUGUAAAACUCUAAGAAUAAUUUUUAAAUGGAAAGAUAAUGACACAUAACUAUAUUAUGGAAAUAGGAGAAAUUGUGAUAGAGGGCUGGAAGAAGCAGAUUGCCAUAUCUUAACCUAUAUUCAUUUUUCUGAAAUUAAGUGAUUUUCUAAAGAAUGAAGAAAAAUUUUGUAGGAAUAAUUCAUCUGUAUCAAAGUAAAAUAUUUCUUAAGGAGUCAUGAGGAAACUAGAGGAGACAAACAUUCAGUACAAAGCUUGAGUGUGGCAAGAACUAGUUAAAAUGGAUACAACAGAAUGAGAUGCAUAUAAGAAAAAUAUCAAGCUGGAGGGAGGUUAGAAGAAAUCUCAUAAGAUAUCUAUCUGUCUAGGUAGCAAUCUUGAAGACUGGUACCCUAAAAGUUGCUUUUGGUUAACUGUAUUUGGCUAAUUAUUUAAGCAGUGUUCAAAUAAUCUUGACCAUGAAGUAGAAAGUGGGUGAACUGGAAGGCUGGAGUAAUGGAAAUGGAACCUGACUUCAAGGUACAGACUCAUUCACAGUACAGAAAAAAAGAAACUAGAUUUCUACAAACAGGUAAGAUUUCAUUCCAUGAAAAGGUCAGGAAAUGGAAAAUGUUUCAUGUUCUAGUGAAUCACAGGCUAAAUACAUGACAACUAGACACAGUCCUGUCACGUCAUGCCAAUCACUGUCAAAAAGGUGUGGUACAACUGCGAAACACCAAAUGCCUACCAGGGAAAAUAUGCUCAGUAAAAAUCAGCAAGCGUUAGUCCACUGCAUGUCUGCUAGGAUCCUGUGUACAGUGCCCUGCAUGGUUCUGCUUAUUCAUAUUCAGGGAAACUAUAGAUUGACGGGAGGAGGUGCACAGUGGAGUUGAGAAAGUGAAAAGUUGUCCUGUGAGAAAAGACUGACAGCGUGAUUGAAACUGGGUGGGUGUCUCACACCAGAGUGCACAAAGGUGCAGCACUGGACAGUGCUGCUAUUUCAGAGAGCACUCCCUCUCCCAGCUGAGGUCCUGCACCACUGACCACCCUCCUUUUCUGCUUGCUUCAAGUACUGUUCUCUGUCUUGAGUGAGUGCAUGCAAGAGGGAGUGGGAUAAAGUAUUCAGACAUCCAUCAACAGAUGUUGGAAUGGGUCUUAACUGUAAGCCCAAAUCAAAUGCUUUGGAAUGUCUGAAAUAACCUUGAUAAAACUAGACACAUUAAUGAAGUGUCCCAGGUGUGAGCUGGGUCACAUCCCAAAUAGCACACUUGCACAGCCAGGCAAAGGUGAAGUCAAGAGCAGCAAUGAAAAUGUCAGGGACUUGGCACACAGCAAUACCCAUGAAGCCACUGGGCACCUUCAAUCUCUCACCCCCACUCUUGUUCAGCAUAAUCAGCUGAUUAAUGGUCUCCCUCUCUUAAAUGGAUCCCAGGAGCUCUAGGUGGGGUCUGAAAUGUUUUAUGUGAGUAAUGGAAAAGGGCACUGGAUUUUAGGAUGCUCUAGAUGUAUCUCAGGCUUAAUUUGGCUGAUUUCUCAUCCCUACAUGAGAAAUGAAAUGCAGAGAAGGUCUGUGUCUGAGUCAAUAGAACCGAUAUUUGGGAUUUAGUUAUUUAAACUUUUACAUGAGAGAGCUAUUCUGAGUCAGCUGUUUUCUUCCUAGGAUGGCAACGUCCAGUCAGCCCCUCAAAUUUGUUUCUCUCCUGCAAAAGUGCAAGAAAUUCCACCUUCCAUUGAGUGCUGGGGUACUGACAGAUCUCAUUAGCUUAGCAAUGGAACCCCCAUGUAAUAUGUCAAUGCAACCCCUGUGGCAUUGAUAUAUUUAAUAUCUCUCAUAUGGUGAGUCCUCAAAGCAGAAAGAACUGCAGUCACUCACAGCUAAGAGAAGCUUUUGGUGAUCAGACAGAUUUAGUGGUGGAGACAACUCAUUUUUUCAUGCUCCUGGAUAAUUGGAAUAAUCUGUCCGGGCAAGCAGCUAAGAUGGGGUUUACACAGAGUAUGCAUUGCACCCGAGUUUGCUGUUUUAAAACACCAAGUUUUGUGGGAAGAUUAGCAAGGUUAGCAUGUUAGUCUAUUGAAGCCUGUCUGGAGGGGAAAGGAGAAACUUAACAGUGGGCAAAAGGAGUAGGAGUGCCUCUUAAGAAGGUAUCAGAGAAGUGCAGGUGAAUUGUGGGCCCAGGAUUCACAUGCACAGAGGAACACUUCUGUGUGUACCCUCAGCUGGUUCCACUCUCUUUCCAUGAGAUCUGAGGGACGUAUGUCAAGGCUGAUUUCAGUGAUGGCUGCCAGCUUCAAUUAAGGAAGUGGGAUCCCUUCCAGCCCUGGCCAGCUCACUGUGAGUGAUGGAGGAGCUGUAUCAACCAGCAGAGCCGAUCUGGGGAUAUAGCUGUUUGUACACACUUGAAAACCCCACUGGUCAUUGUGUCACUCUUAUUUCUGGGACGGUUAAAGGCUGCCUGUGAGCAACUUCUGAUGAACCUGAGGGAUGCAGCUAAUUUCCAGUAGAUUACAUGGUUUAAUUGGUGCUAAAAAAAUGUUGUGACACAAGAGUGCUGAGAAAGAGGUCUUAGCAAAGUGUAUCAAUAACCUCUAUUGCUUGAAAUAGCUCACAUUCCCAGAUCUUUUUAGCAGUAGCUUUACUUAAAAUUAUUAACAGUAUUAAGCAUGUAUUAACUUUAUUGCAAUAACAAAAAAAUACAUAAACAAAUAAAUAAAUAAAGCAAAGCUUAAACA